GCUCGCUUCAGCGGCACCUGUACUAAAAUUGGAAUGAUAUGGGAAGAUUGGCAUGGCCUCUGUGCAAGGAUGACACAAAACUCGUGAAGCGUUCCAUAUUUUU
ensembl:snRNA U6 U6 spliceosomal RNA